AAAGUGCGAUAAGCACUGUGAAUUGCAGAAUUCAGCGAAUCAGUAGAUCUCUCAACGCAACUGGUGCUAGGUGAACUUGUUUACUUGGCAGGCAUACUUCAGCGUUGCAUUUACAAAAAUUGCACUUACCCUGCAUUUUUGUCGUCAUAAUUUUUUUAUGAUGACGGUUGGUUCGCUAAGUUGUCAUGUGUGUUUUACAACACAAACAGCUACUACUGGCGAAUGGGAAGCGCUCAACAUUAUUAAAUCUCUUAACAAAAUUGUUUUAAGAAUGUUAGAGCAUAUUCAAUCAAACAACCUGAAGUAUGUCAGAUUACCCGCUGAACUUAA
rnacentral:misc_RNA from 1 species